rnacentral:rRNA from 1 species
GACGAACGCUGGCGGCGUGCUUAACACAUGCAAGUCGAACGGAAAGGCCCUGCUUUUGUGGGGUGCUCGAGUGGCGGACGGGUGAGUAACACGUGAGUAACCUGCCCUUGACUUUGGGAUAACUUCAGGAAACUGGGGCUAAUACCGGAUAGGAGCUCCUGCUGCAUGGUGGGGGUUGGAAAGUUUCGGUGGUUGGGGAUGGACUCGCGGCUUAUCAGCUUGUUGGUGGGGUAGUGGCUUACCAAGGCUUUGACGGGUAGCCGGCCUGAGAGGGUGACCGGCCACAUUGGGACUGAGAUACGGCCCAGACUCCUACGGGAGGCAGCAGUGGAGAAUAUUGCACAAUGGGCGGAAGCCUGAUGCAGCAACGCCGCGUGCGGGAUGACGGCCUUCGGGUUGUAAACCGCUUUCGCCUGUGACGAAGCGUGAGUGACGGUAAUGGGUAAAGAAGCACCGGCUAACUACGUG